UGAGGAAUAUUGGUCAAUGGGCGUAAGCCUGAACCAGCCAAGUCGCGUGAGGGAUGAAGGUUCUAUGGAUCGUAAACCUCUUUUAUAAGGGAAUAAAGUGCGGGACGUGUCCCGUUUUGUAUGUACCUUAUGAAUAAGGAUCGGCUAACUCCGUGCCAGCAGCCGCGGUAAUACGGAGGAUCCGAGCGUUAUCCGGAUUUAUUGGGUUUAAAGGGUGCGUAGGCGGCCUUUUAAGUCAGCGGUGAAAGUCUGUGGCUCAACCAUAGAAUUGCCGUUGAAACUGGGGGGCUUGAGUAUGUUUGAGGCAGGCGGAAUGCGUGGUGUAGCGGUGAAAUGCAUAGAUAUCACGCAGAACCCCGAUUGCGAAGGCAGCCUGCCAAGCCAUUACUGACGCUGAUGCACGAAAGCGUGGGGAUCAAACAGGA
rnacentral:rRNA from 1 species